GCUGCAGAAGAUCUCACCUAGUCUCUGGUCUACUGGGCUCUUUAUCGGUCUCUCCAGAACCUCUUUGAGCAGAAUUUCUAGGUAACAAAACUUCAAUCGUUUCUCUUCUUUUUGCUACAACUAGCUUCUCCAAGAUGUGGGAAUGAUUUUUAGUGAAGUGAGUUUAGGGUUUUGUGGGGAGGAAGCUUAGGAAAAUCAAGCUUUAAAAGAGAAAAUGGAGAGAGAGCUUCUUGGCUAUGGUGGACGGGAA
rnacentral:misc_RNA from 1 species